rnacentral:rRNA from 1 species
AACGAACGCUGGCGGCAUGCCUAACACAUGCAAGUCGAACGAGACCUUCGUGCCUAGUGGCGCACGGGUGCGUAACGCGUGGGAAUCUGCCCUUGGGUUCGGUAUAACAGUUGGAAACGACUGCUAAUACCGGAUGAUGACGUAAGUCCAAAGAUUUAUGGCUCAAGGAUGAGCCCGCGUAGGAUUAGCUAGUUGGUGAGGUAAAGGCUAACCAAGGCGACGAUCCUGGGCUGGUCUGAGAGGAUGAUCCGCCACGCUGGAACUAAGACACGGCCCAGAAUCGGACGGAAGGCAGGAGUAGGGAGUAGAGGGCGAGGGACGAAAGUCUAGUAAAGCCGCGCCGGGGGAGAGAUGAAGGGGGUAGGAUUGUAAAGCUGUUUUUGACGGGAUGAGAGUGACAGUACCGGGAAAAGAAGCACCGGCUAACUACGUG